rnacentral:rRNA from 1 species
AUUGAACGCUGGCGGCAGGCCUAACACAUGCAAGUCGAGCGAGCGGCGGACGGGUGAGUAAUGUAUGGGGAACUGCCCGAUAGAGGGGGAUAACUACUGGAAAAGGUGGCUAAUACCGCAUACUAUCAGAUGAACCCAGAUGGGAUUAGCUAGUAGGUGGGGUAAAGGCUAACCUAGGCGACGAUCUCUAGCUGGUCUGAGAGGAUGUACAGCCACACUGGGACUGAGACACGGUCCAGACUCCUACGGGAGGCAGCAUUGGGGAAUAUGGCACAAUGGGCGCAAGCCUGAUGCAGCCAUGCCGCGUGUAUGAAGAAGGCCUUCGGGUUGUAAAGUACUUUCAGCGAGGAGGCGUUACCCGCAGAAGAAGCACCGGCUAACUCCGUGCCAGCAGCCGCGGUAAGAC